rnacentral:lncRNA from 1 species
UAAAACAGCAUUCUCACUUAUACACAGUCUAAGAUAUAUAGAGAGUCAGCAAAUGCAAGAAAUCCAUUCUUAAUCCACAGGAACCCAAGGCAAGCCUACAGGAUGAAUUGUACUGGAGACCUGUGUUUAUUCCAAGUGACUCAAAGCACUAGGCAAUAUCUAAGAACCUCUACAGAAUAAAGACCUACUCAGUUACACAGACAGAAAACCAACAUAAGGGAAAAUGGACAAGUGACCACCAGCACUGAACUCUGGGGUAACGAAGAAUAGGAUUCUAUAUAAGGGAAGCAGGAGAUCAUCUGCCUUGAUGCCUUUUAGGACAGCGGUUCUCAAAGUGUGCUGUGGGGACCACAGCCACAUCCAGGGUUCAUGUGUCAAGAAAAUUCUUGGAUCCCAUUGGAUUAGACUCUGGUAAGUGGAACCCAACAAUAUGUGCUUUUACAUAAGCUUCUCAGCUGAUUCAUAUGCACACUAAAAUUUAAGAACAUCUGCCUUAUGGUAAGGAAACAAGGAAAGUCAUAUGGCUUUUCUAGGGCCACAUGCUUGGUUAUUGGUAGAGUCAAGUGUUAAGCCCAGGAUUAACUGCCAGGUUG